rnacentral:rRNA from 1 species
UCCGGGGGGGGCAAGCGUUGUUCGGAAUUACUGGGCGUAAAGGGCUCGUAGGCGGCCAUCUAAGUCAUACGUGAAAUCCCUCGGCUUAACCGGGGAACUGCGUCUGAUACUGGAUGGCUUGAGAUUGGGAGAGGGAUGCGGAAUUCCAGGUGUAGCGGUGAAAUGCGUAGAUAUCUGGAGGAACACCGGUGGCGAAGGCGGCACCCUGGACCAACACUGACGCUGAGGAGCGAAAGCCAGGGGAGCAAACGGG